UACGUAGGGUGCGAGCGUUGUCCGGAAUUAUUGGGCGUAAAGAGCUCGUAGGCGGCUUGUCGCGUCGGAUGUGAAAGCCCGGGGCUUAACUCCGGGUCUGCAUUCGAUACGGGCAGGCUAGAGUUCGGUAGGGGAGAUCGGAAUUCCUGGUGUAGCGGUGAAAUGCGCAGAUAUCAGGAGGAACACCGGUGGCGAAGGCGGAUCUCUGGGCCAUUACUGACGCUGAGGAGCGAAAGCCAGGGGAGCAAACGGG
rnacentral:rRNA from 1 species